AUUGAACGCUAGCGGCAGGCCUAACACAUGCAAGUCGAACGAGUGGCGGACGGGUGAGUAAUGUCUGGGAAACUGCCUGAUGGAGGGGGAUAACUACUGGAAACGGUAGCUAAUACCGCAUACUAUCGGAUGUACCCAGAUGGGAUUAGCUUGUUGGUGGGGUAACGGCUCACCAAGGCGACGAUCCCUAGCUGGUCUGAGAGGAUGAACAGCCACACUGGAACUGAGACACGGUCCAGACUCCUACGGGAGGCAGCAGUGGGGAAGAUUGCACAAUGGGCGAAAGCCUGAUGCAGCCAUGCCGCGUGUAUGAAGAAGGCCUUAGGGUUGUAAAGUACUUUCAGCGGGGAGGCGUUACCCGCAGAAGAAGCACCGGCUAACUCCGUGCCAGCAGCCGCGGUAAUUC
rnacentral:rRNA from 1 species